AAACAGAGCCUAUAAACACGACUUGGUGGCUCCGGCCAAUAUCAACAAUUCAUCCACGGCAGUCUACGCAUCUCUCUCCUCUCCUCUCCUCCCCGCGAAGGCGAAAAGGAAACGGCCAAGUGAAGCGGCGUUGGCGGCGGCCAUCUCCUCCUUCUUCCUCGUUCGUAAAAAAUCUACAGUUGAUGAUGGUAACGAUGGAGUACAAGGGGAUUUCCGACCUCGUUCGGGAAGCAAGUAUGGCUUUCAUUUCGACAACAUUUGGUGUUAUAGUCUCUCUUGGGCUUCUAGAGAGAGUGGAUAAUUCUAACUAUGAUUGGAUAAUUCUUACCCUUUACCUAUUUCCGAUCAUCUUCUUUUUUCUUAGGGCCAUUUGGUCCUUUGUAAUUUUUUUCAUGAAGCUCAACGACAGGAGGAUUAAAAACCAAACCCUAUAUAUGGAUCAUUCAAGGGUACCCUAGCUCCUUCUCCAAAAGAAGAAGAAAAAAAAAACACUAAGGGAUCGAUACCGUAGCUCGAAACCCUAGUCUUGGUUCGUGACAAUGUUGUAAAUUUCUUGAUCACUUGCUUGUGUUAUUUACCGUGGACCAAUGUUACGUGCAUAGGUAUUGGUGCCUGUAUUCGAAAACACAGAUGUUUCUAGAAUCAUGUGAUGCACAUAUAACUCUCAUCAUUUUGUGGACUCCAAGUGCAUAUAUUGGACGAUUCAUGGGUAACAUUUGUUCCGAUUCAUGCACCAAUGCCUAUGUACACAAUCUUUCUUAUAUUAAGUACUAUUAGGAUGGUUGUCCCAAAUUCAAAAUGUAUUCCAUCGAGUGAUUAAAUUACACAAGCGUUUAUCAAAAUUAAGAAUCUUGAUCA